CCUACGGGUGGCAGCAGUGGGGAAUAUUGCACAAUGGAGGAAACUCUGACCCAGCAAUGCCGCGUGAAUGAAGAAGGUCUUCGGAUUGUAAAGUUCUUUAGUCAGGGAAGAAGUCAAUGACGGUACCUGAAGAAUAAGCUCCGGCUAACUACGUGCCAGCAGCCGCGGUAAUACGUAGGGAGCAAGCGUUGUUCGGAAUGACUGGGCGUAAAGGGAGCGUAGACGGCAGCGCAAGUCUGGAGUGAAAUCCCAUGGCUUAACCAUGGAACUGCUUUGGAAACUGUGCAGCUGGAGUGCAGGAGAGGUAAGCGGAAUUCCUAGUGUAGCGGUGAAAUGCGUAGAUAUUAGGAGGAACACCAGUGGCGAAGGCGGCUUACUGGACUGUAACUGACGUUGAGGCUCGAAAGCGUGGGGAGCAAACAGGAUUAGAUACCCCUGUAGUC
rnacentral:rRNA from 1 species